AUGUUUGCUGCCCAGAAUUCUCAUCUCUUCAGCUUUCGCUAUAAGUUCCUAUGAUGCUCCUUUUUAGGUGACUUUUCAUGUGAUUUCUGCUUCCAAAAAUUAGAAAAUACCUUCAGAUCAAACCAGCAGAUUUGUAGAUUUCUGGGAAUUGCUGCUACUCCAUCUCCAUCUAGCCAAUGGUCUUUGGUUACUGAUUCUGAGUGAGCUCGAGAAAACACAACUACAAGCUUUCAGGUCCUAAAUGAGAAGGUAAGGAUGUACUUGAGCAGUAUGAGAAGACCCAGUUCCAUCAUCUCAGAAGCCAGAAGUUCCCCAUUUAAUAUCUUUCAUUCUGAAAUUUGUUUAAGAAGAUGGUCAUUCUUCUAUUAGCAGCACGAUUAUGUGUCAAUUGUAGAUUCUUAAUUGCUUAGAAUUAUUUUAUAUGUUUGAUUCCUUCGAUU